AUCAUGGGGGAUGUAUAAGGAUGGUCAAAGUUAUAUAACCAAGUCCCACUAUACAUGUGACUAAUCAUCUUUGGAUUAGGCAAUAUGUGUAUCAGUUUUAUUUAGUUAAAUUUAUAGUGAUUCAAAGUCUUCUAAACAUUAUUUAGCACCCCAAUUUAUAAUUUUUACAAAGUCUGGUCAUGUAGUUUCAUGAAAAAAAUAGAAAGAACUAUACUUUUCCUCUUUAGCUCACCUGGCCCGAAGAGCCAAGUGAGCUUUUCUCAUCACUUGGCGUCCGUCGUCGUCUCGUUAACUUUUUACAUUUUGAACUUCUUCUAGAGAACCACUGAAUGGAAUGAAACCAAACAUUGCCAUGAAUGAUUCCUUAUGAAGAAUACUGAAAAGAUCGUUUAUUACUAUGUAGUCCGAUCCAAUCAUCAAGAAUGGCCGCCAGCGGGGGACUUAGUUUAACAUAGGACCCUAUGGGAAAUACAUACAAAUGACUUCUUUUAGAGAACUACUGAAUGGAAUAAAACCAAACAUAGCAUGAAUGUCCCUUAUGAGGUGCUGACCAAGUGUUGUUACUUUGUAGCCGACCCAUCAUCCAAGAUGGCACCAGCAGGGGACUUAGUUUUACAUAGGACCCUAUGGGAAAUGCAUACAAAUGACAUCUUUUAAAGAACUACUGAAUGGAAUGAAACCAAACAUAGCAUGAAUGUUCCUUAUGAGAUGCUGACCAAGUGUUACUUUGUAGCAGAUCUAUCAUCCAAGAUGGCCGCCAGCGGAGGACUUAGUUUAACAUAGGACCCUAUAUAUGGGAAACUUCGUUUAGAGAACCACUGAAUUGAAUGAAACUAAACAUAGCAUGAAUGUUUCCUAUGAGGUGCUGACCAAGUGUUGUUACUUUGUAGCCGAUCCGUCAUCCUAGAUGGCCACCUGCCUUGGGGACUUAGUUUAACAUAGGACCCUAUGGGAAAUACAUACAAAUGACUUCUUUUAAAGAACUACUGAUUGGAAUGAAACCAAACAUAGCAUGAAUGUUCAUUAUGAGGUGCUGACCAAGUGUUGUUACUUUGUAGCCGAUUCAUCAUCCAAGAUGGCCGCCAGCGGGGGACAUAGUUUUACGUAGGACCCUAUGGGAAAUGCAAACAAAUGACUUCUUUUAGAGAACCACUGAAUUGAAUAAAACCAAGCAUAGCAUGAAUGUUCCUUAUGAGGUGCUGACCAAGUGUUCUUACUUUGUAGUCGAUCCAUCAUCCAAGAUGGCCGCCAGCGGGGGACUUAGUUCAACGUAGGACCCUAUGGAAAAUACAUACACAUUUCUUCUUUUAGAGUACCACUGAAUGGAAUGAAACCAAACAUGUGUGUUCCUUUACUUUUGAGGUCCUGGCAAAGUGUUGUUUACUUUGUAGCUAAAUUUUAUCUUUUUUAUAUGAUUUCAAAAACCAAGUAAAGUCAGGUGAGCGAUACAGGCUCUUGAGAGCCUCUAGUUUUAUAGGCCCUCAUUUUUGAAAACUUGAACAUUAAGUUUUCAGUUCCAUAAAAAAAAACUUUGAUUAUCACUUCGUUCAUCCCUUUAAAAAAUCGUCAGUAAAAUAAUGGGAUAAUCACGCCCUUUUCAUAAUCCAAGAUUUGUUUUCCUCCAACGUCGAAAUUCUUAAUCGAAAUUAAAUAAAAUUUUAAUGUUUAAAAUGAGAUAACAGAAUUGAACACUUAAAUCGAAUACCGGUACUUCUGAUACAUAAGGCCACACCAAUUUGAUUUAUAGUUCUUUGGACAAAAGCUCCAAAAAAUGUGGGGCGAGUGAGCGAAAUUUUUUUGAUUGUAAAACAUUCUUGAAAAUGAGUUUUGUUGAGGCGGGUGCUCUACAAGUGGAGCGAGCGGUAUAGUGUUUUAAAUUGUGCAUUUUAGAAAAUUAUGUACACUUUAAAACUGGAUAACUUCAAAGAAAAAAGAGGAGACACAUGCUCUUACGCAUAUAAGUUGAUGUGUUUGUGCCUAUAGUACAGUCUAUACCAUACCCAACUUUCUGGUUCGCUUUGGUUUAGUAUAAUUUUGAUUAUUUUUUUCAAAUAAGCCUUAACUGUGCGAAUUUUUAUUUAAAUUCACACAUGUGUAUAUAUUAAGGAGGCAAAGAGGAUAAAGUUUAGCGAGAGUAAUUAGGUUAGUUAGUUAAGACAUGUAUAUAUAUUUAAAAAAUGCCCUUGAAAAAUAUUAAAUAUCUUUGAUACAGUUGUUUUCAUAUAUAGUAGUGAUUGUUAACUUUAUUGGCUGCUUGGCAUCUAGUUGGAACUAUUUCUCCAUAAUAGGGUCAACACAAUGAGUGACGUGAAUAUUUCAACAACAUCUCGAGUAAAAUAGCUAUAUUGCUAUGCAUGGAGAUCUCAAGUGUAAUGAAACAUUCCCCUAAAAUUCAUUAAGUCCUAAAACCACAUUCACAUGCAUUAUUCUGAUUUGGCAAAAUACAUUUUCCUUUUGCCCCUGAAACCUGAAAUGUAACUCAAACUGGAAGUGGUUGCACCAAUAAUACAUGCCUUAUUAUUAUUUGCAGGUCACCACCACUUUGGUAUUGAAUAUUGGAACUCUUAAAUUGUCUAUUAUAAAAGAGAUCUGAGUGCAUGUCAAUAGACUAACAAGGGGAUAUGGGUUUUCAUCAAAAUUUUAAUAUCAAUUUCAUCCAAGACAGAUAGCUCUAUAGUCUGUUGUAGUCCGUCCGAGAUUAAUCUGACGUACACACAACGGCUGUUUUGCCUGCUAGUGCCGUUGGACACCAACACCAUAUCUUGUCUGGCUAAACAGCCGUUGUACGUCAGAUUAAUCUCGGACUAUGUUUGUUGAAACAAUGAUCGGGAAAGAAAAUGGUUCUAACGAGUACUGUUGUGAUCGUGGUCGUCUAACAAUUUUUUUUUUAUUUUGUCUUUUAGAACUUUUGUCUUUUAGAUCAGAUCAUCAUAGGUAAAACGAAAUCCAUUUCAAAUAACUGUGUGUUUAAAAUAACUACUUGUCCUUUGCAAUAAUCUGACACCAUUUCAUGUUGUCAUCCCGAUUUUUGACCUUUUAUUAACAAACAAAAAGUCAAGGAUAAACUAAUUUUGGAACGGCAUGCAGCCCAAAAAUUUGUGGAAGCAGUAUUAAUUUUUUUUAAUGAAAAGUCAAUUUCUCCAAAACAGGAGCGGGAAAAUCCAAAGAACUAUUAAUCAAAUUGGCGUGGCCUAAGUGACCAUUUUCUUAUCUGAAGAAACUUAUAGAUAAUCUUGCCAAAAUUCCAUAAUAAGGCAAAAAGACAUUUUAUUUCCCUUUUACUAUAAGUGUGUGAUAACAUUGUGUAAGGGAAUUCGACGUUUGAUGUACCACUGUUCACUCCAGUGCAAUUUAUGACAAUACCACUGCAUCAAUCAGAAUUAUUUUUUUUGCAGUGUUUUAAGAAAUGAUUUUGCUUUGUUGUCGCGUAUUAUUUGUGAAACAUUCAAUGUUUUAAAAAGGCGAAUUUUCUUAUAAAGUCAAUGAUUAUGUUGACUUUUGAAGGCCAAACUUUCUACAGCCUUAAAUACGCUAAUGAAAGAUCCAAAAACUAUACCAAUACAUAACGACAUGAUUAUGAAAUUAUAACAAAUCUAUUGGUUAACAAAUUUUUACUCGUUAUUGCAAAAUAAUGAACUUAAUAUAUCUGACAUUUUCUCCCUACCCAGUUUACCCCUAUACAUUUUUAUGAUGUGGACUGGUCAUUGUUAUUGAAUCGUAGGCAAUUUGAUUGGAUUAAGUUGUUAUUAGUUUACCUUCAAACUUGUUUAUGCUUUUCAUACAUGACUAUUGAUUAAUUAGAAUGUGCAUGAAUGUGACCGGUAACUAAAAUGACCUUCAAACUGGACACUGGACGAGUCAAUAUUAUGUUUUAUCAAUGAAAGUUAAGGUAUGAAAGGUAAGAAUUGCCACUUAUUCGAUUUUCACAAAAUUUUCGGAAUAUACAGUUGGAAGGUUAUUUUUUAAAAGCCUAUUGUGAAGAGUAAAGAGAAAGUUUACAAAUAAUACGUUUUGUUCCAUUAAACAAGUCAUUUUCGUAAGAGAAAUACCGAAAUAUAUUUUACGCACGACUACGGCAGGUAAAAUUAUUAUUUAUCAUAAUAAAAAAAAACAUUUUUCAGUCUCAUUGGAAUAUGUUGAUUACAAUUAAUCCCAAACUUAAGAAGUAAGUAACUAAAGUCAAAAUAUGUCCGAUCUGCCUAUUUCUGCACAUCAAAAGUCAAUACGAUCGUUUUAAAGUCAAUUUCGUCUACCUCACAAAAUCUUGUUAGGCACUUAUAAUACAGCUUCAGAGGGUGGUAAAGGGGAGUACUGAACACGGAAACCGUAACGUGAAAUAAAAAUUGCAAAAACGUUGCACGAAAAAUAAAAAUCGGGGGAAAAACGUCGCACGAGAAAUAAAAUCGUAAAUAUUAAGGAAAAAGGUAUCAGAAGAUAUUACUCAGCCGUUCUUGGAGAUCGUGCAGCCAUUAUUAAUGGACAGUGAAGACUUUGCGGUCACCUUUUAGCUACCGCUACUUGCAUCUUAUUUGAAAAAAAAGUUAUUCAUAGUAAUUUGAAGGACUUUAUUAAUAGCAUACAUAUUGCAAAAGUAGAAUGGUAACAAUACAUAUCAAUUUCUAUAGAUAACACAAGUUUCGGAAGGUAUCAUAGCCUUAUAACACACUGACUUUUUAAUCAAAUGCGGAAACAUGCACGAGAAAUUAAAAGCACCGACACGAAACACAGAAAAUAAAUUAGUGAAAACACGAUGCACGCAAAUCGAGCAAAACACGAGAAAACGAGAAAUAAAACGUCAAAAUACGAAAAUACGUGAAAUAAAUAGACCCAAAACGUUGCAUGAAAAUAAUCCUUUACCACCCUUAGCCUCAGUAUCCAAAUUUUUAUGAGAAUAUAAUCGACAUUUUAUUUUGUUGUCGGUGAUACCCGACAAGAGGUGGUUUAUCUACGAGGAAAUAUCAGCAUUAUCAUGGAGUCAUUUUAGACCUAAUUUUUCAGUCCAUUUAACCCAGAAACGUGAAAUAAAUUUUCAUUUUAGACCUAAUUUUUCAGUCCAUUUAUACCCGACAAGAGGUGGUUUAUCUACGAGGAAAUAUCAGCAUUAUCAUAGAGUCAUUUUAGACCUAAUUUUUCUGUCCAUUUAACCCAGAAACGUGAAAUAAAUUUUCAUUUUAGACCUAAUUUUUCAGUCCAUUUAACACAGAAACGUGUAAUAAAUAGACCAAAAACGUUGCACGAAAAUAACCCUUUACCACCCUCAGCCUCAGUAUCCAAAUUUUUAUCAGAAUAUAAUCGACAUUUUAUUUUGUUGUCGGUGAUAGAUACCCGACAAGAGGUGGUUGAUCUACGAGGAAAUACGAUCAUUAUCAUAGAGUCAUUUUAGACCUAAUUUUUCAGUCCAUUUAACCCAGAAACCCAAUUCUGGUAGUAAAACGAGCACAAAUUGACAAUCUUAAAUUUAAAUAUUAAACAAAAUAAUACAUACAAAUAUCAGGUCGCAUAUAUAGUAUACUUGUAUAAAAUAUUACUUAAAUUUUACAGAUCAAUAUUAAAAGGCUAUGAAAGAAUUACAAUGUUUAUUAUUGGUGGCAUAUUUGAUUAUGGUUAAUUACAAUCUAAUUAAAAACCGAUCUCUCAUCGCUCCUGUUUCUGAUAUGUCGCGUGGGAGAUCUAACGAAACCGGCUUUGAGGUCACAUGUGAGUGAACUAAAAGUUAUGAAUUUAUAAAGAUAUGCAAAUGAUUUGACGACCUAUUAAUAAGCCAAUCAAAAAAGUUUAUGAAUUAUUUGACUUACAUUUGUCGUAAAAUAAAAUGAGUUACAUCCCUUUUGCCUUACGUGAACUUCCAAGAUCGUGGAAGACUCAAUUUAUUGGUCGAAAAGACACCCCUACGAGGUCACUCACAUGUGACCUCUAAGCGGGUUUCGUUAGAUCUCUCACGCGACAUAUCAGAAACAGGAGCGAUGAGAGAUCGGUUUUUAAUUAGAUUGGGUUAAUUAUUAACCAUAAUCAAAUAUGCCACCAAUUUACACUUUUGUCACGUGGUCUUUGUUGUAAUGGUGUCGAACGAUAUAUAUCACUUCCUUGUAAGAAUAUGUCCUGUAAAUCUUCGUAUAUAUCUGUAUAAAGUGAUUUAUUUUAUGGUAUGUGCCUCAAAGUCAAGUAAAAAAAUAUAUAUUUAUUGUAUUGAUAGUAUUUUCCCGAUUCACUAUUGCAGAAGUCUGAAUAGUGAAAUCGACGGACAAGCGGGAUGGCAUCAGGGGUCCAGGCAGUUUGCUUGAAACAUAACAAACAGUGGAGGAAUAGGUUCCAAGAGUUUUUAAACAAAACCAGUGGACCAACCAGAAGAAAUCCAUUAAUUUGUCAAAGUGAUGUUAAAAGAAUUACAAAAGCAGUGUGCACAUGCACAGAGGCUGUCAACAAAG
rnacentral:lncRNA from 1 species